GCAGAGCCCCGCGGCAAGGGAGUUGCGGGCGCACAGGAAUGGCAAUGUGGACCCCUGUGAUGGGACAUCUUGUGGGAUCUUACAGCCAGAUCUGUGGCAAAGGAGGAUGAAGGCUUAUGAGGACUCGUCAGGAAGCUGGAUAACAGAACGAGCGCAAUGUGCUAGAAUAGAAGACCAGAAAAUGAAAUGGUGGAGUUUGAGGCUGGAUAGACAGUUUGAAAGGUAAGUAUUGAAAAACACUUGAAUUUGGGUCAGUACGAAGGGACAUGCAGAGACUUUGAAUCAUCAAAACUCCAGCAUGCAUUGUCUUACCAAGAUGUUUAGAUAGGUGUGUUUUGGACAAUACUCGGGGUUCUUGUAAUGAUGUUGAUCAAAUGUCUGAGCUGAAAAUAACUUGUAGACAAUUUUUAACACUGAAGAACCCUGUGGCAGGCAACUAAGAAUAGUCGAAUGAUGUUUAGCAUAUUUGUAAGAGGUAUUUUCUUUUAAUCCUAGUUAACUGGUUGCAUGCUUGUUCAUUUGGCUGGCUUGCUUGGGUAAGAAGCCAUUGGGGGCCUUGAAUUCCCUCCAGUCAUUUGCAGUAUUUACUGCAUAACAUUUAGUUUUUGAACAUGCAUGUGCUACCAUCAGUACUAAAUGGUGCCUUAAAUUUUUUUCAGGUACAAAUGAUGGUUUGAAUAAAGAAAGAUAUUACGCAUGGGUCACCUCAAGUGAAGG
ensembl:processed_transcript growth arrest specific 5